CAGCAGCCGCGGGAAAACGUAGGUGGCAAGCGUUGUCCGGAAUUAUUGGGCGUAAAGCGCGCGCAGGUGGUUUAAUAAGUCUGAUGUGAAAGCCCACGGCUCAACCGUGGAGGGUCAUUGGAAACUGUUAAACUUGAGUGCAGGAGAGAAAAGUGGAAUUCCCAGUGUAGCGGUGAAAUGCGUAGAGAUUAGGAGGAACACCAGUGGCGAAGGCGGCUUUUUGGCCUGUAACUGACACUGAGGCGCGAAAGCGUGGGGAGCAAACAGGAUUAGAGACCCCAGUAGUCCCUGUCUCUUAUAC
rnacentral:rRNA from 1 species